GAAAUAGAGAUAAAAUUAUAGAAGUACUGCAGCAGAACCAGAGCAGAACCCACACCAGGUUCAGGAUGUAGUCCCAACAGUAUCCUGGCUCAGGUUCAGGGUGUAGUCCGGACAGGGUCCCGGCUCAGGUUCAGGAUGUAGUCCCGGCAGUGUCCCGGUUCAGGUUCAGGAUGUAGUCCGGACAGUAUCCUGGCUCAGGUUCAGGAUGUAGUCCCGGCAGUGUCCUGGCUCAGGUUCAGGAUGUAGUCCGGACAGUGUCCCGAUUCAGGUUCAGGAUUUAGUCUGGACAGUAUCCCGACUCAGGUUCAGGACCUAGUCCUGUCAGCGUCCUGGCUCAGGUUCAGGAUGUAGUCCUGGCAUUGUCCUGGCUCAGGUUCAGGAUGUAGUCCCGGCAGUGACCCACCUCAGGUUCAGGAUGUAGUCCCGGCAGUGACCCACCUCAGGUUCAGGAUGUAGUC
ensembl:lncRNA